GACAGAGGGUGCAAACGUUGUUCGGAAUUACUGGGCGUAAAGCGCGUGUAGGCUGCUUCGCAAGUCGGAUGUGAAAGCCCUGGGCUCAACCCAGGAAGUGCAUUCGAAACUGCAGAGCUGGAGUCCUGGAGAGGAAGGCGGAAUUCUCGGUGUAGAGGUGAAAUUCGUAGAUAUCGAGAGGAACACCGGUGGCGAAGGCGGCCUUCUGGACGGUGACUGACGCUGAGACGCGAAAGCGUGGGGAGCAAACAGG
rnacentral:rRNA from 1 species